rnacentral:rRNA from 1 species
GACGAACCGUGCAAACGUUAUUCGGAAUCACUGGGCUUAAAGGGCGCGUAGGCGGGCCGCCCGGUCCGGGGUGAAAGCCUCCAGCUCAACUGGAGAAGUGCCUUGGAUACCGGCGGCCUCGAGGGAGGUAGGGGCGUGCGGAACUUCGGGUGGAGCGGUGAAAUGCGUAGAGAUUUGGAGGAACACCAGUGGCGAAGGCGACUUUCUGGUCUGUAACUGACACUGAGGCGCGAAAGCGUGGGGAGCAAACAGG